CGAGGCAAUCCUCUAUGUAAAAACUGACGUUGAGGGACGAAGGCUUGGGUAGCGAAUAGGAUUAGAUACCCUAGUAGUCCAGGCAGACAAUUAUGAAUGUCAUAGAUUAGAAAGCAAAGAAGAAAGUGGGUUUGCUAUAAAGAUUGUGUUAUUUAAGAGUCUUGUUAUUAAAUUAUACAGUCCCUACUUAACUAGUUCAAAUAUAACUCUUAAACUCCCUUAAGCGAGAAUCUACCCUCCUCCUCUUUAUGGGGAGGGGAGAGACCUCUCCUCCUUUUUUAUCAGGAGGGGAGGGAGGCUUCCCCUUUAGUAGGAGGAGGGUGCAGAAAGGGAAUAUAAGGAAGGUAUUUGCCUCUUGGAUUAUUCCCUCUUUUAAUAAACCUUCCGAGGUUAGUUAUCUUUCUCUUGUUCCGUACACAAGUGGAAAUGAAUAUAGCAUAUGACAUUGUGUAUUAAAAAGGAUCCGGGUAAAGGUUUUCUUCUUUACCUUCCCUUAUUUAUCUAUAAAUGAAAGUGUAAGCAUUCCACCU
rnacentral:rRNA from 1 species